rnacentral:tRNA from 1 species
GGGGAGAUACCAGAGUGGCCAAAUGGGACAGACUGUAAAUCUGUUAAUCGUGAGAUUUACGAAGGUUCGAAUCCUUCUCUCCCCACCA